GACCCCCCUGAACGGGACUAGAGAAGGAGCAACAUAUCCUGUGCAAGUAUUCUACAGUUUUUAAAUGGAAUACCAACCAGCCUUACACACAAUACCUAUCUCGAUUGGACUUCCCCGGAUAUUCCCCGGCCCACGUCUUUUACAAGACGUGAGCUUCUAGCCCUCCAACACUCUUCCUCUUCCCAAUCAUCCCUUCCCUUCCGUCCUGACUCGUGAAUUCUCCAAGCUCGCCCAGAUCCUGAGCCAAUGGAGAAUUACUCUGCGCUCUGACACGGGCGUCCCAACACACACCUAUUCCCUGGACGCCUCUGUACUUGACCACAUUUCAUAUCAGAAAAUAUUCCAUCUUCGGCCAGUUUCGUCUAUCCAUUGGCCGUUUCUGAUCACCUCUCAAUUUCAGUCACCUUCAAGAUGCCCAGAAGUUUCCAUCGUCUGGACGUGACUCGAAAUGGGAGGUGUGUGGUCAAUGUGCAGAAGUGCACCGCUCAACUUGAGGCCCUGGAGCUAUCUAUCAAUACUGGGGUUGUGAGCAAUCCAGCUGCAGUGGCCCAAGGCAUUUCACAAGCAUUUAAAGAGUCCUCCUGAGCGUAAAGGAGGAGAGGAGGACUCAACACCCCAGGGUUCAGCACCCACCAUCGAGAGCUAAGGGGUCAAAUGCUCCAAAAACUGCGUAGUGCCAAAACGAGCCAAACACUGCAGACUUGGGAGCAAUAUGCGAUAUCAAGAAUUGCAUAUCACAAGUCUCUGAGGAGCACCACGUCAGCCCUGGGUUCCAUAGGUUGGAAGUGGAAAACCUGCUCUCUUCAUCUGCCUCGUCCCCUAAUGGCGGGCUUGUACAAACGUGCCAAAAAGCCCGCCACCAACUUGGAGAUUCCCAUGAGUAAAUUCCUCCUCCACUGUCAAGAACUGUUUGCAUCAACAUUGGAAACAGUAGUUGAGGAGGUCCAGGGCUGCCCAGAAGAACACCAUCCCCUUUUGCAGCCCUUCACGGAACCCGAGAUGGACGUGGCUUUCAAGAAGAGUAAAGCCCCCUCAACAUCUGGGGUCUCUCCUUUCCAACUUUCACUUCUCCAGACCCAAACCCAGCCACUCCUCCAAGAUCUUUUCAGCCUCGCCCUCCAUUCUUCCCUCUUUCCACCAGCAUGGAUGGAGUCAGCCAUCAUCUUCAUCCAUAAGAAGGGGCCCAGGGACAUUUCAAACAACCAUCGGACCAUCGCCCUGGAGAACCCCUUCUUGAAGAUGAUGUCCACCCUACUAGCUGCCUGCUUCUCCGGAUUGGCCCAGGAUAGGGAUCUCCUUCCCUAGUUCCAAUUCAGUUUCCAGAGAAGCCGCUCAACCACCACGGCAGCUACUCUCCUCUAUGAAUUUGUGCAUCCCAACAUCAGCAACAAGUGGAGAGUGUAUGGAUGCUUGGUUGAUUUCUUCAAAGCAUUUGACAGGGUGGACUGAACGCGGUUAUUCCUCAAACUCAAACUAUGGGGAGUUCCGCGUUCAAUCCGUGUCCUGCUGUCCAACAUCUAUGCGGGACUCAGAUGCUCCAUUCGUUUUGGUGAGGAUCUAUCCCCCUGCUACUUCACUUCCGUUGGCCUUCCGCAGGGGGAUCCACUAUCGCCAAUUCUUUUCAAUCUUUAUGUAUCCGACCUGCCCGUAGCCCUCACCCACCAAGGCCCCACCAUUAACCGUUUUAUGGUACAAUAUCUUGCAAUGAUAUGCAGACGACCUGGUUCUCUUGGCUAAUUCAGCCGUGGAAUUGCAAAAUGCCAUCAAUGCACUCCACGGUUAUUGCCAAGAGAACGGCCCUCAAAUCAACACCAUCAAGACGAAGGCCAUGGUUUUCCAUAAAGGUCGUCUGCCUCCCACCUCCUUCCUUAUUAACAAUAGUCCGAUUGAAAUCGUCAAUAAUUUUAGUUUGUCAGUUUCACAUUCUCAACUCAACUCUCCUUCACCAAUAAUCUCAAAUCAUCAACAGUCAAAGCCAGGGCCAGGGUCGGAUACAUUUGCAAUAGACUUCCUAUCAAGAAUCUUCUCCUUCCAAUAGUUCUUCAACUCUUCCGGACCUACAUCACUCCAAUUUUCUUCUACGGUCUUCGCCUUUGGCUCCCAAACUCCGCUCAAUCCGCCCUCAAAUCCGAUGCCACCUUCACAAAGUUCCUCAAACGAUACCUGUGCGUGCCCCAAUAUGCAAACAAUGCAUGGACGCAUUUCCUAUGCGAAACCGAGCCCCUCGCCAAUGGGCUGGCAAGGUUAGUGUCCAACAGUGUUGGGAACCUGACCUUUCCGGAGGUGAUGUCCGGACACAAGUUGUCCUUUCCGGUCAAGGACUUGCUAACAAGGAUGACUUCCAAAGACAAGAUUCGAACUAACAACCUCUGUGGAACUGUGCCGCCUUGGAUACAACAGACGCCUCAGCUAUUAUACAUUAAGUAGAGAGCAUAUAUAUUCGGAGUUCUUUCUGAGCAUACUAAACUUGGGCUGAUAUAUCCUUUCAGAAAACAUAAGUUAUAUAUUGCUUGUAAGAGCUUGUCUUGGAUAACAAAACCGUAUAUACAUUAAUGUUUAUAUUUCUA